GACGAACGCUGGCGGCGUGCCUAAUACAUGCAAGUUGAGCGCUGAAGGUUGGUACUUGUACCGACUGGAUGAGCAGCGAACGGGUGAGUAACGCGUGGGGAAUCUGCCUUUGAGCGGGGGACAACAUUUGGAAACGAAUGCUAAUACCGCAUAAAAACUUUAAACACAAGUUUUAAGUUUGAAAGAUGCAAUUGCAUCACUCAAAGAUGAUCCCGCGUUGUAUUAGCUAGUUGGUGAGGUAAAGGCUCACCAAGGCGAUGAUACAUAGCCGACCUGAGAGGGUGAUCGGCCACAUUGGGACUGCGACACGGCCCAAACUCCUACGGGAGGCAGCAGUAGGGAAUCUUCGGCAAUGGACGAAAGUCUGACCGAGCAACGCCGCGUGAGUGCAGAAGGUUUUCGGAUCGUAAAACUCUGUUGGUAGAGAAGAACGUUGGUGAGAGUGGAAAGCUCAUCAAGUGACGGUAACUACCCAGAAAGGGACGGCUAACUACGUG
rnacentral:rRNA from 1 species